rnacentral:rRNA from 1 species
UACAGAGGUCCCAAGCGUUGUUCGGAUUCACUGGGCGUAAAGGGUGCGUAGGUGGCAUGGCCAGUUUGAUGUGAAAGCUCAGGGCUUAACCCUGAAAUGGCAUUGAAUACUGCUGUGCUGGAGGUUUGGAGGGGGGACUGGAAUUCUUGGUGUAGCAGUGAAAUGCGUAGAUAUCGAGAGGAACACCAGUGGCGAAGGCGAGUCCCUGGACAACACCUGACACUGAGGCACGAAAGCUAGGGGAGCAAACAGG